rnacentral:rRNA from 1 species
AGAGUUUGGAUCAUGGCUCAGAUUGAACGCUGGCGGGAUGCCUUACACAUGCAAGUCGAACGGCAGCACGGACUUCGGUCUGGUGGCGAGUGGAGACCCAAUGUGACUGGAACGUGCCUAGUAGCGGGGGAUAACUACGCGAAAGCGUAGCCAAUACCGCAUACGCCCUUCGGGGGAAAGCGGGGGACCUUUCGGGCCUCGCACUAUUAGAGCGGCCGAUAUCGGAUUAGCUAGUUGGUGGGGUAAUGCUCACCACAGACGAUCCGUAGCUGGUUUGAGAGGACGACCAGCCACACUGGGACUGAGACACGGCCCAGACUCCUACGGGAGGCAGCAGGGGAAUUUUGGACAAUGGGGGAACUCCGAUCCAGCCAUCUGGCGUGUGCGAUGAAGGCCUUCAGUUGUAAAGCACUUUGGCAGGAAAGAAACGGCACGCGGGAUAAUACCCCGUGCAACUGACGGCGCCUGCAGAAUGGGCACCGGCUAACUACGUGCCAGCAGCCGCGGUAAUAUUGCGCGUUAAUCGGAAUUACUGGCGUAAGCGCAGGCGGUUCGGAAAGAAAGAUGUGAAAUCCCAGCUUUAACUUUGAACUGCAUUUUUAAACUACCGAGCUAGAGUGUGUCAGAGGGAGGUGGAACUGGCGUAGCAGUGAAAUGCGUAGAUAUGUGAGGAACACCGAUGGCGAAGGCAGCCUCCGGGAUAACACUGACGCUCAUGCACGGCGCGUGGGGAGCAACAGGAUUAGAUACCUCCGCAGUCCACGCCCUAAACGAUGUCAACUAGCUGUUGGGGUCACAUAGCGCAGCUAACGCGUGAAGUUGACCGCCUGGGAGUACGGUCGCAAGAGAUUAAAACUCAAAGGAAUUGACGGGGACCCGCACAAGCGGUGGAUGAUGUGGAUUAAUCUUUUGAUGCAACGCGAAAACCUUACCUACCUUUGACAUGUCUUGGAAUCCCGAAGAGAUUUGGGGAGUGCCCGCAAGAGAACCGGGAACAGGUGCUGUAUGGCUGUCGUCAGCUCGUGUCGUGAGAUGUUGGGUUAAGUCCCGCAACGAGCGCAACCUUGUCAUUAGUUGCUACGAAAGGGCACCUAGCUCAGGACUGCCGGUGACAAACCUCGGAGGAAGGUGGGGAUGACGUCAAUCUCAUGGCCCUUAUGGGUAGGGCUUUCACACGUCAUACAAUGGUCGGGACAGAGGGUCGCCAACCCGCGAGGGAGCCAAUCCCAGAAACCCGAUCGUAGUCCGAUCGCAGUCUGCAACCUCGACUGCGUGAAGUCGGAAUCGCUAACGCGGAUCAGCAUGUCGCGGGUGAAGAAGGUUCCUUGGGUCUGUGCUACACCCGGGUCGCUCACCAUGGGAGUGGGUUUUACCAGAAGUAGUUAGCCUAACCGUAAGGAGGGCGAUUACCACGGUAGGAUUCAUGAUCAGUGAAGUCGUAACAAGGUAAC